ensembl:lncRNA
AAACAUUCAUCACUUCUGCUGGAGCAUAGCUCAUGGUACACAUUAGGAAAUUUCCAGUAGCUGCAAGAACAAUACAAACAGAAAUCAGUAAAGGUCUCUGUGUUACAAGUGCAUCUGAAGGACGCUCUGUGAGGCAACCCCCCAGGAGCUGCCAAAGCAGGUUUCUGUCAGAAGAUGAAAGUAAGCUUCUUCUCUGAAAAUGAACUGCUUUGUAGGAAAAAGGAAGCAAAAACAUUUUUCUUCCCAUCAGCUCAUUUCCUUCCUAAACUAACUCCAUCAUUUCCUAAGCCUACCUAGCACCUUUCUAUUUAAUAAGUUUAUCUGCAAAGUGCUUAAUUCUGCUGCUUCUCCAAUUCUCGGAGGUAGGCAAUCUAAGACUAUUUGCAAAUACCCUUUGAACUGAAGUGAUGAGAGACUGCAAUUAAUCAAAAGGUUGAAUCUAUAGAAAAGCCCUAUUAAAAUCUUGGGAACUGCUGAGGAGGUAAUGGCUAACUGUUCCCAAGGGGAUGAAAAAUAAUAAAGAAACAAAAACUAUUUAGGAAUCCUAUUAACAAAAUGUAUCAGACUGUAUAUGAAACUGUAUAAAAAGAUUUCAAAGCCAAAUGAGGCUUUGAGGAAAAAAAAAAACUUGGUAUUGUUUUGGUUUCUUUGUAUAAAUGCAUAGUCAGGCAUUCAUACUUCAACUGAAUGUGUGUCUUAUUUUCUGCCUGACCUCCAUCUCAUUCAGAAAGAUUGUCCCCAUAAAGUCAUUCUCCUGCCUUUCAGCAGGAUAGUUUUUAUCCUACUCUGUCAGUACCUUGAGAAAAGUACCCCUAAGGAAAUCAAUGAAAGAAAGGGCAACUGCUUGUAUUUUGGAGCACAGGGCUUAAAAUAUCUCCUCCGCCACUGUUUGCCAAUGCCACCAGCGAAGCAAGGAUAACAGCAGCUUCUUCCUGCCUUGUUCAGUGUGCAGGAUUGUUAUUUAGAAUUCAGUAUCUGCAGCAGCAGGGUGCUGACAUCCUCUGUCAUUUUCAGAUGUUGCAUGGAACAUAAGGAGCAGCCAGUGUGUUGGGGGAGGGCUAGGAGGGGGUGUGGUGUCAUGAGCCAUUGGGUUGGAGGGAGUCAUGAAGAAACCUGUCCCAAGAAUGAGGAGCAACAAAGAGCUGGACAGAGGUACUAUUUCAACUCCUGCCUCCCACUUUUGAAAAGAGAGAAAGCUGUAACUGAAGUCUGAAAGCACUCAGCUGUUAUGGUGGGAUCUGUGUUAAACACACAAAAAAGAAAUCACUGCGAUCUCUCAAGACAGACUGAUUGAUAUCUUAGACUACCUGACAAAUAACACGUUGUCUCAAAGCAAGGCCUUUAAGAUCUUCUACUGAUAAUACUCAUGAUAAUUAAAGGCCAUGGCCACUGUGAUUAGCCUAGAUUCUUUCACACACAAAAAAAUAAAGCCAACUUCUGGCUUUUGGUCAGUUAGUACCUCAGUAAGCCAUAGUUCCAAAAGCCUUGUGUCAUGGUGGAAGCUGUCACCUCCCUCUAGGUGACAAUGAAGCACAGGCACAGUUCUACAUGACCUGAUUUGAUAUUACCAGGUGGUAACACACUAACAAAAUCCACAGGACAACUUGAUCUCACAGAUGCAUCUCUGCCUUGAUGGUAUAUAAAUUUAAAGUGAAGGGCAGCACUUCUUAAUUACUUACAUUGUUUAUUUUAAUGUAGCUUACAGCUUUCAUUUUUAAACCAGAAAUGGAAGGACAUAGUUUCUCUCAAGACAGCAGGUUUGUGUUUUUAAAAGAUUUUAAAUUAAUACAUGUAUUUACUCACUGUAGCAGAAAUGCUAAGUAAGUCACAGUCUGAACCAGUGACUGAGCACCCAGUGGGAAGGCAGGGCCAACACAGGGGAGCUCAGGUGCAUGCAAUGUACCUGAGUGAGCAGAAGGGGUGGAGCCAGGAUCCACCCCUUCCCAAACCUCAUUUAAGGGUUGGCAGUGGAGGUAGGGAUUUUUUGCUGGAGAUCCCUGCCUCCCAGAGGUCUUCUGAAGGUCUUCCUGAGAGAGUGGGCUCCAUUAUGUUCAGGAACAGAAUGAAAAUGAAACUCAUCAUUAGUCGGGUUGACUCAGUGUCUGAAUACACAUUGUACCAUGAGGAUCCUCUUACCCUGAGCCAAAGACUGUCAAAGUCAAUUCCAACAGCUGAUGAGGCCCUUCAGAUCAGGAACAAUGUUCAGUGUACCUACAGCUCCUAUUUCCAUUCAGCAAAGACUCAAUUUGCAAUUCAUCAGAAAAAGUUCAUGGAGUUUUGGACCAAUAUCACUGUAAAACUUCCAGGGUCUAACAAUGAUGAAACUCUCAGACCUCCAUCCUAUUGUUUUACUGUUCCUAAAUGAACAGUCCCAUUUACUACAAGUCUGUGAAAGAGUGUCAGGCUGCUUAAUGCCUGGGAACAAAAAAGAUGAAGUAGGGGGCAAUUAACAAAAUCAAAGAAUGUCAUAUUGCCUUGGUUUUUACUUUAUCUCACUGCUACCAGCUCUUUGUAAACCUUGAUUAGGCAGACAGCAUGUUCCUACAUGAGAAAGCAGGUUUUUUUUUUAAUUAAACACAUUCCUUUUUCAUAGUCUGCUGCAAAUUACAGCAUUGUUCAUUCUCUUUUAUGCUGAACUUAUCUCUUUUUUCAAUCAAGAGCUUUUCUUCUCAAAUUCAUAAUGUUCUCUGUAGUAUUUACCUUGUGCUGGUUGACAAGAUCAGUGUCAUAUUAAGGUUCCUUAGAUGUCCAUACGAACUCCAGUUUUGGUUAGAUUUCACAUCAGUACCCUGGCCAUUUUGCUCUUCAGUUACUGCAACAAGGUGUAUGGCCAACGGGGUACUGUGGGAAAUAUACACUAAUUAUUACCCACAGUGGUUUUUCAGACUCGAUUCAGUUUGAGUGUUUGCUUUACGAACUAGAGAAGUUUUGACAAAGCAAACAGAUCACUUGGUAUAUUUCCUGUCUUUGUUACUUUGCGGAAUCAAAUUUCUAUUGUCCAGGCUCAUUUCAAUGCACGUGCCAUUUUAAAACUGAUGUUCAUCACACUGAUACUCAGCAGAAACUUGUGAAGCGUGUCUAUGAGGAAAAUGCUCUAGCCACCAAAUAAAUUCACUAUCAAGUGUGCAGGCUAAUGUCAGAGGAGGGAUGCCCUAAGAUUUGUGCCCUCAGUGGAGACUCUCAAACCUUGGAAGAAGUGUCAGGGCUUCCAUAGAGGUCCCCUAUUGGAUUGGGGGAUGUUGGAAGUUGUUCCUAAAGAACAUGUGUGAAAUGUGAGCAGUUUUUAAUCAGGGCAAUCUUGUAAUAUAAACAAGGGUGAAAAUAAAGUUGAGUAAUAUUUAUUACUCUGCCCUUCUAUACAGUAUGCCCCGCAGUCUCUGCUAUCUGUACUCUGGUUGUUGAGUGGGGACAACUUUAUUAAACAUAAG